GGGGUUGUGGCUCAGUGGUAGAGUGCUCACCUGGUAUGCAGGAAACACUGAGUUCAAUCCUCAGCACCA
rnacentral:tRNA from 1 species